rnacentral:rRNA from 1 species
UACGGGGGGAGCAAGCGUUGUUCGGAUUUACUGGGCGUAAAAGGGCGCGUAGGCGGUCAGCACAAGUCAGUUGUGAAAUCUCCGGGCUUAACUCGGAAAGGUCAACUGAUACUGUGCGACUAGAGUGCGGAAGGGGCAACUGGAAUUCUCGGUGUAGCGGUGAAAUGCGUAGAUAUCGAGAGGAACACCUGCGGCGAAGGCGGGUUGCUGGGCCGACACUGACGCUGAUGCGCGAAAGCCAGGGAGGCGAACGGG